UUUUAGCCCAGAUGGCAGCGGCAUCCUUUUCUUGUCACGUUUUUUUUUAAACGGGACAAGAAAAGAUAUAGCGAACAGCUGGAAAUAGC
rnacentral:sRNA from 1 species